AACGAACGCUGGCGGCAGGCUUAACACAUGCAAGUCGAACGCCCCGCAAGGGGAGUGGCAGACGGGUGAGUAACGCGUGGGAACAUACCCUUUUCUACGGAAUAGCUCUGGGAAACUGGAAUUAAUACCGUAUACGCCCUACGGGGGAAAGAUUUAUCGGGGAAGGAUUGGCCCGCGUUGGAUUAGCUAGUUGGUGGGGUAAAGGCCUACCAAGGCGACGAUCCAUAGCUGGUCUGAGAGGACGAUCAGCCACAUUGGGACUGAGACACGGCCCAAACUCCUACGGGAGGCAGCAGUGGGGAAUAUUGGACAAUGGGCGCAAGCCUGAUCCAGCCAUGCCGCGUGAGUGAUGAGGGCCUUAGGGUUGUAAAGCUCUUUCACCGAUGAAGAUAAUGACGGUAGUCGGAGAAGAAGCCCCGGCUAACUUCGUG
rnacentral:rRNA from 1 species